rnacentral:lncRNA from 1 species
CUUGACCUUUGGUUCCUUCUUGGAGAACUCUGUCUUCAGCUGCUUUCAGAGCGUUUGUAGGGUGCAACAGAAAGAAGGGGAAGAGGCUGCUGGGGGUGACAGGCUCAUCCAUGAGCAGGACCUGGAGUGGCUGCAGCAGGCGGACGUGGUCGUGGCAGAAGUGACACAGCCAUCCUUGGGUGUAGGCUAUGAGCUGGGCCGGGCCGUGGCCUUUAACAAGCGGAUCCUGUGCCUGUUCCGC